rnacentral:rRNA from 1 species
UACGUAGGGGGCAAGCGUUGUCCGGAUUUAUUGGGCGUAAAGAGCGUGUAGGCGGCCUGACAGGUCUGCUGUGAAAACUCGAGGCUUAACCUCGAGAUGUCAUCGGAAACCAUUUGGCUAGAGUCCGGAAGAGGAAAGUGGAAUUCCUGGUGUAGCGGUGAAAUGCGCAGAUAUCAGGAAGAACACCAAUGGCGAAAGCAGCUUCUGGGACGGUACUGACGCUGAGACGCGAAAGCGUGGGGAGCGAACAGG